GCCAGCGUGGUAUAGUAGUUUGAGCUAGACUAUGACUCUGGAGAUCAGGGCUCAAAUCCCUGCUCGGUCA